rnacentral:lncRNA from 1 species
GUUGCGGAGAGCACAACGCGCGUGGGGAGUCGGUCUCCGAGACGUGCUGCGCUUGAGACUGCUGGAGGCGGGGACUUGCUGCGCAUGGGAGCAGCGCUGCGGCGCCAAGCUUGCUGCACUAGGUUUUUUGUUUUUUUUCUGUUGAAAAUGUUAUGGGCUGCUUGUUGGGCUUGUAAAAAUUGGGCCUUAGAUGGGUUUAGGCCUGUUAUUACAAAAAAAAAGCCUACCUACUUUGUUUUGUGUGGGCCCGGGCCAAUUGGGCU